AUGCAUAGUGGAGCUCGAGCUCCUCGAUCGUGCUGGCGGUCCGCGGUGUGUCUAACCAACCAUGCCCAUUUCACAGCAAAGAAUGGAUAUCAUGCUAGCUUCGUGCCGAUGGUUCAAGAUGGUUUUCUGGCUGAUAAAUUGGUUCGUAUAGAUUGUAAAGGAUUGCCAAAAAGUGAUUAUCGGAAGAUUGGAGUCAAGCUCAGGGACAUUGUUCCUUGUAUUCUUGUGUCUUUUGACAAGGAGCUAUUGUUUGGUGGGGGAAAGACCAUGAUGAAAGCAUACAGGAUAAUGUGCACAAGGCAUUCCCUUCAGUUCUUCAAUUAG
rnacentral:rRNA from 1 species